rnacentral:rRNA from 1 species
CCUACGGGUGGCAGCAGUGGGGAAUAUUGGGCAAUGGGCGAUACUCUGAACCAGCAACGCCGCGUGAAUGAUGAAUGUCUUCUGGGUGUAAAGUUCUUUUCUAAUGGGAGUAGAAUGUAGCGGUAACUUAGCAAUACACCUCGGCUAACUACGUGCCAGCAGCCGCGGUAAUACGUAGGAGGCGAGCGUUAUCCGGAAUGACUGGGCGUAAAGGGUGCGUAGGUGGUUUGGCAAGUUAGUAGGGUAACUCCGAGGCUCAACCUUGGAACUACUACUAAAACUGGCGGCCUUGAGUGCAGGAGGGGCAACCGGAAUUCCUAGUGUAGCGGUGGAAUGCGUAGAUAUUAGGAGGAACACCAGUGGCGAAGGCGGGUUGCUAGACUGUAACUGACACUGAGGCACGAAAGUGUGGGUAGCAAACAGGAUUAGAUACCCGAGUAGUC